rnacentral:rRNA from 1 species
AUUGAACGCUGGCGGCAGGCCUAACACAUGCAAGUCGAACGAGUGGCGGACGGGUGAGUAAUGUCUGGGAAACUGCCUGAGGGAGGGGGAUAACUACUGGAAACGGUAGCUAAUACAGCAUCCCAUCAGAUGUGCCCAGAUGGGAUUAGCUAGUUGGUUGGGUAACGGCUCACCAAGGCGACGAUCCCUAGCUGGUCGGAGAGGAUGACCAUCCACACUGGAACUGUGACACGGUCCAGACUCCUACGGGAGGCAGCAUUGGGGAAUAGUGCACAAUGGGCGCAAGCCUGAUGCAGACACGCCGCGUGUAUGAAGGAGGCCUUCGGGUUGUAAAGUACUGUCAGCGGGGAGGCGUUACCCGCAGAAGAAGCACCGGCUAACUCCGUGCCAGCAGCCGCGGGAAUAC